UUCCUUUAUAGCUAAAUACACAUUUCAUUGUGUAUAACUUACUACUAGUGUUUAUUAAAACUUUUUGUUUGUGUCUUCAAAGCUCUGAACUAUUCCACCUAAUAAGCGGAGGUUUCCUUGAUGCGGGGGUAGGUUGGACUUUGCACAACCUUGGUGUGGCCAAUCACUGGUCCCAAUACAGGGGGCGUGUUCUCUUUAACGCCUCCCGUCCCAUCAUCAACAUCAGAUGGGAUGCGCGCGCACAUCCGGCCACCUUAUCAUCCUUGGCCGGUCUGAGACUGUCAACACAUGUCUCCCCCCUAUGCGCUCCAGCCUACAUCAUCACGCUGGAGCGCACUGGAUGCGCGCGCAAGUAACUUGGGACGCGUGGACCGGAUAUGAUGCCAGGGGUCAUGUUUGACUCUUAUCAUUUCCGGUGGAGAUGUCGUUCUUAAGGCCAGCGCUGACACAAUGUAUGUCAGACGCUGACUUGGACGGCGUGAGGGAAGAUAUCACAGUACACGUGGAAGUUUGCUUCAGUCAGCUCUCUGGUGUUACAACACAAAUAAGGUAAUUACUUUCUAGUUCAUCUCUUUAGGUUUUAAUCCUCUAUGUAGGCUUUCCUGGUCAUGGGCAUGAACUUAAUCUACUCAUUACUCUGUCUAUUUUUAGAAUCGGAACCUAAAUAGAUAUAACGGCCCUUGGACCAUUCUGACAGUAUUGCCUUUAAGUAUAAUGCCACUGGGAUAGCAUAUCCCCCUAGGACAUCAGCUUAUAGCACUAUAUACUCCAUGUUAUUAACCAUCUAAGGUAAACUCUCUUCCUUUUCAAUUACAUUCUUUUCUAAUAGACGGGCACUACGCUGCAAUGCAACAGUUACUUAUUAUUUUUUAAAAAAUAAAUUGAAUUCAUUUAUAUACUUAUAUGCAUACAUAUUUUGUAUUUUACUUACUUAUAGAAUAUAUUAUGAAUUCAGUAUGAACUACACUGGACUCUAUUGACAGCUUUAACCCUAUAUCUAAACUUCACUACUACUGAGGAGAGAAUUAGAUACAACGUACAAAUACCUGUAUCUCUUCCUCCUCAAUUGUGGUGACCCCCUCUAUACAUCUCAUUGUCCGCACCUGUUAAAAUCAAGUGGAUCUGGCUUCCACUGAUUGAAAGUGCAGCAGUCAAUGCCUUCCGCCCGCAUCGGGUUCGCCUCCGCUACUUUCUUGGCAGCUUGUUCUGCCAUGGUUUUUGAGCUUUUUAAACACAUAUUGACCAUUACAUGUAAAUAAGGAACAGAAGUAUCAUGCAAGCCCUGAUGAAGCACAUCUAAGUGCGAAACUAGUUGGCAAUAUCGCAUCUACUUUUCUUCUAAUUAUA